GGCCCGGUAGCUCGGAGGACGAGCAGGCGGCUGUUAACCGUCAGGAGCGGGUUCGAUUCCCGCCUGGGCCU
rnacentral:tRNA from 1 species